UCUUGGACGAAAUUUUGAGAGAAAAAGAGAGAGAAAAUCCAUCAUCUUGCACUUUAAUUUCUUGUCCAAAUCUUGAGUUCCAACCGAUUAAAUUGCAAAUCACUCCAUAAAACUUGCUAGCUAAGGAAGAUUGAAGCUCUUGGUGGAGUUGUUUUGGAAGAAAAAUCCCUAAGUCAUCACCUUUCUUGAUAUUUGAAGGUAUCAUGUCUAGCCAUCCUUUCUUUGUUCUUGAUUAUGCUAAAUUAGAGACUUGUGAUGUCUAAAGAGAUGGUUUGAUGGAUUAUAUCUUGAGUUGUGGUUGAAUUGAUGAACUUUUAUUAUUUUUGGGGAUUUUUCUGUUCUAAUAUGAGUAUGAUUAUGUGGUUAUGUAUGAUGAUUGGAAAUGAUGUUUAAUGAUUCUAGAAGGUGGAAAAAGUGGAAGAUUGCAAGUAAAUUCUGUUUUGGAAGAAAUCUGGAAAAUUAGGGUUCUUGGUUCUUCAUUCUAUCCGAAAUUUUUGGUCCUAGAUAGAGGCUGAAUUGGCCUUAGCUCAAAACAUGAAAGUUGUAGGGAAUGACAUUAUAAAGGUGCCUACAAAAUUUCAGGUCAAUCAGAGUAGCGUAGAGUGAGAAAAGUCGAAAUUACUAUUGCUAUUCUGGUUUUACCCGAAAUUGGGAUUUGCGACUGUAAUUGGUUGUUUUGGCUAGAAUUGCUUCCGAAUUGGUUGUUGAGGUCUUCUGAUGAAAUUUAACCCUGUUUCUUAUAUUUCAGCUGGUUUUGGAAUUUCUGGAUUUGGAUUUGGAGAGCCUGAGUUAUGAUGUUU
rnacentral:lncRNA from 1 species